GAUGAACGCUAGCUACAGGCUUAACACAUGCAAGUCGAGGGGCAGCAUGAACAUAGCUUGCUAUGUUUGAUGGCGACCGGCGCACGGGUGCGUAACACGUAUCCAAUCUACCCAUGGCUCGGGGAUAGCCUUUCGAAAGAAAGAUUAAUACCCGAUGGUCUCGGUUUAAGGCAUCUUAGACUGAGUAAAGAUUUAUCGGCGAUGGAUGAGGAUGCGUCUGAUUAGGUAGAUGGCGGGGUAACGGCCCACCAUGCCUACGAUCAGUAGGGGUUCUGAGAGGAAGGUCCCCCACAUUGGAACUGAGACACGGUCCAAACUCCUACGGGAGGCAGCAGUGAGGAAUAUUGGUCAAUGGACGAGAGUCUGAACCAGCCAAGUAGCGUGAAGGAUGACUGCCCUAUGGGUUGUAAACUUCUUUUGUUUGGGAAUAAAGUUCGGGACGUGUCCCGUUCUGUACGUACCAUUCGAAUAAGCAUCGGCUAAUUCCGUGCCAGCAGCCGCGGUAAAAC
rnacentral:rRNA from 1 species